UACAGAGGUCUCAACCGUUGUUCGGAUUCAUUGGGCGUAAAGGGUGCGUAGGCGGUCGGGUAAGUCGGAUGUGAAAUCUCAGGGCUCAACCCUGAAACUGCAUUCGAUACUGCUUGGCUAGGGUACUGGAGAGGAGGCUGGAAUUUACGGUGUAGCAGUGAAAUGCGUAGAUAUCGUAAGGAAGACCAGUGGCGAAGGCGAGUCUCUGGACAGUUACCGACGCUGAGGCACGAAGGUCAGGGGAGCAAACGGG
rnacentral:rRNA from 1 species